rnacentral:rRNA from 1 species
CGGUAAUUCCAGCUCCAAUAGCGUAUACUAAAGUUGUUGCAGUUAAAAAGCUCGUAGUUGGAUUUCUGCGGGGACGGAGCGGCCGGACGCAACUUGCGUCUCGAGCUAGCGCUUUCCCCGCAUCCUGCCGCGAACCGUGCUACCAUUAGUUUGGUGGCGCUGGGGAUCGGCUCGAUUACUUUGAGAAAAAUAGAGUGUUCAAAGCAGGCCACACGCCUUGAAUAAGUUAGCAUGGAAUAAUGACUAAGGACUUUGGUUCUUUUCGUUGGUGUUCGGGACUGAAGUAAUGAUUGAUAGGGACAGUUGGGGCGGUCCGUAUUCCAAAGCGAGAGGUGAAAUUCUUAGACCUUCGGAAGACGAACAGCUGCGAAAGCGUUCCGCAAGGAUGUUCCCUUUGAUCAAGAACGAAAGUUGGGGGAUCGAAGACGAUCAGAUACCGUCGUAGUCUCAACUAUAAACUAUACCAGCUAGGGAUCGGCCAACGUUUAAUUAUUCGACUUGGUCGGCACCUUAUGAGAAAUCAAAGCAUCUGGGUUCCGGGGGGAGUAUGGUCGCAAGGCUGAAACUUAAAGGAAUUGACGGAAGGGCACCACCAGGCGUGGAGCCUGUGGCUUAAUUUGACUCAACACGGGAAAACUUACCAGGUCCAGACAUAGGAAGGAUUGACAGAUUGAUAGCUCUUUCUUGAUUCUGUGGGUGGUGGUGCAUGGCCGUUUUUAGUCGGUGAAGUGAUUUGUCUGCUUAAUUGCGUUAACGGACGAGACCCCAGCCUGCUAAAUAGCGCGGCCGAGCUUUGCUCGGUACGAGCUUCUUAGAGGGACCAUGAUGCGCGAUAGCACAAGGAAGUUUGGGGCAACAACAGAUCUGUGAUGCCCUUAGAUGUUCUGGGCCGCACACGGGCUACACUGGCGCCUGCAACGAGCAUAUCAGCUGGCCCGAGAGGGUCUUGGCUAAUCUUUGGAACCGGCGCCGUGCUUGGGAUUGACCAUUGCAAUUGUUGGUCACGCAACGAGGAAUGCCUUGUAAACGCGAGUCAUCAGCUCGCAUUGAAUACGUCCCUGCCCUUUGUACACACCGCCCGUCGCUCCUACCGAUGAAUGUUCCGAUGAAAUUUUCGGAGAGCGCCGGAGAACGGGGCUCUGCCCUGCAGAACUGGAGGCUCAAAGUCACUUAAAUCUGAACAUUUCGAGGAAGGAGAAGUCGUAACAAGGUAGCCG